rnacentral:rRNA from 1 species
CCUACGGGAGGCAGCAGUAGGGAAUAUUGCUCAAUGGGGGAAACCCUGAAGCAGCAACGCCGCGUGGAGGAUGAAGGUUUUAGGAUUGUAAACUCCUUUUCUAAGAGAAGAUAAUGACGGUAUCUUAGGAAUAAGCACCGGCUAACUCCGUGCCAGCAGCCGCGGUAAUACGGAGGGUGCAAGCGUUACUCGGAAUCACUGGGCGUAAAGAGUGCGUAGGCGGGGUAGCAAGUCAGAUGUGAAAUCCUAUGGCUUAACCAUAGAACUGCAUUUGAAACUGUUACUCUAGAGUAUGGGAGAGGUAGGUGGAAUUCUUGGUGUAGGGGUAAAAUCCGUAGAGAUCAAGAGGAAUACUCAUUGCGAAGGCGACCUGCUGGAACAUUACUGACGCUCAUGCACGAAAGCGUGGGGAGCAAACAGGAUUAGAUACCCCAGUAGU